CUAAUACAUGCAAGUCGAACGAACUUCCGUUAAUUGAUUAUGACGUACUUGUACUGAUUGAGAUUUUAACACGAAGUGAGUGGCGAACGGGUGAGUAACACGUGGGUAACCUGCCCAGAAGUAGGGGAUAACACCUGGAAACAGAUGCUAAUACCGUAUAACAGAGAAAACCGCAUGGUUUUCUUUUAAAAGAUGGCUCUGCUAUCACUUCUGGAUGGACCCGCGGCGUAUUAGCUAGUUGGUGAGGUAAAGGCUCACCAAGGCAGUGAUACGUAGCCGACCUGAGAGGGUAAUCGGCCACAUUGGGACUGAGACACGGCCCAGACUCCUACGGGAGGCAGCAGUAGGGAAUCUUCCACAAUGGACGCAAGUCUGAUGGAGCAACGCCGCGUGAGUGAAGAAGGGUUUCGGCUCGUAAAGCUCUGUUGUUAAAGAAGAACGUGGGUAAGAGUAACUGUUUACCCAGUGACGGUAUUUAACCAGAAAGCCACGGCUAACUACGUGCCAGCAGCCGCGGUAAUACGUAGGUGGCAAGCGUUAUCCGGAUUUAUUGGGCGUAAAGCGAGCGCAGGCGGUCUUUUAAGUCUAAUGUGAAAGCCUUCGGCUCAACCGAAGAAGUGCAUUGGAAACUGGGAGACUUGAGUGCAGAAGAGGACAGUGGAACUCCAUGUGUAGCGGUGAAAUGCGUAGAUAUAUGGAAGAACACCAGUGGCGAAGGCGGCUGUCUGGUCUGCAACUGACGCUGAGGCUCGAAAGCAUGGGUAGCGAACAGGAUUAGAUAC
rnacentral:rRNA from 1 species